rnacentral:rRNA from 1 species
CUGCAUGGCCGUCGUCAGUUCGUGGCUUGAGCUGUUCCCUUAAGUGGGGAAACGAACGCAACCCUCGUUGCCUGUUACAAGUGUCAGGCAAGACCGCCCAGCCCUAAUUUUUUGAGAAAACUUUUUUGAAAAAUUAGGGCUGGGAGGAAGGAGAGGAUGACGCCAGGUCCGCAUGGCCCUUUGAUACCCUGGGCUACACACGCAAUACAAUGGCUACUACAACGGGACGCGACGGAGUGAUCCUAAGCAAAUCCUAAUAAAGGUAGCCCCAGUUCGGAUUGUAGUCUGCAACUCGACUACAUGAAGCCGGAAUCGCUAGUAAUCGCGGGUCAGCAAACCGCGGUGAAUACGUUCUCAAGUCUUGUACUCACCGCCCGUCAAUUCAAGGGAGCCGGGAAUACCCGACGUCUCACAUUAGUGGGCCUACGGUAAGCUCGGUGACAGGGAAUAAGUCGUAACAAGGCACGGGUAGCGGAAGCUGUUCGUGGAAUCAUUCAAGU